rnacentral:rRNA from 1 species
GAGUGAACGCUGGCGGUAGGCCUAACACAUGCAAGUCGAACGGCAGCACAGUAAGAGCUUGCUCUUACGGGUGGCGAGUGGCGGACGGGUGAGGAAUACAUCGGAAUCUACUUUUUCGUGGGGGAUAACGUAGGGAAACUUACGCUAAUACCGCAUACGACCUACGGGUGAAAGCAGGGGAUCUUCGGACCUUGCGCGAUUGAAUGAGCCGAUGUCGGAUUAGCUAGUUGGCGGGGUAAAGGCCCGCCAAGGCGACGAUCCGUAGCUGGUCUGAGAGGAUGAUCAGCCACACUGGAACUGAGACACGGUCCAGACUCCUACGGGAGGCAGCAGUGGGGAAUAUUGGACAAUGGGCGCAAGCCUGAUCCAGCCAUACCGCGUGGGUGAAGAAGGCCUUCGGGUUGUAAAGCCCUUUUGUCGGGAAAGAAAAGCAGCAGGUUAAUACCCCGCUGUUCUGACGGUACCCAAAGAAUAAGCACCGGCUAACUUCGUG